rnacentral:misc_RNA from 1 species
CAGAGUUAUCCAACUCCCAAACCCAUGUGAACCUAUCUCUUUGUUGCCUCGGCGCAAGCUACCCGGGACCUCGCGCCCCGGGCGGCCCGCCGGCGGACAAACCAAAACUCUUGUUAUCUUAGUUGAUUAUCUGAGUGUCUUAUUUAAUAAGUCA